rnacentral:sRNA from 1 species
GCUGCUCCUGCUGUUGCUGUUGUUUUGCUGUCGCCAUUGUCACUGCUGUUGUUGAUGGUGAUGCUCUGCCUUGCCCCCACCAGCACUUCCAUAUCGAGAUACAGAUACAUAUACAUAUAUAGAGGAGCAGGACCAUAGGACCGGGCCCAGAUACAGAUACGGCGGGGCGGGAGUGUGAGAUCAAUCGUAUUUGAUUGCAGAAUGCGCGGUAGCUUUUUUUUGCGCUACCUCCUCGCAUUCACGAGUGCUGCUGCUGCUUCUGCUGCUGUCGCCACUUUUGUCAUGCUCGACGGGAAACAAAAGCGCUGGGAAACCGAAAGGCAUCGAACGAAUCCCAUACCAACCCAUCCGAACCAAUCCAAUGCCAUCCAAGCCAGCCCAAUCCAAUCCAGAUUCGGAUUCAGAAUCAGUUGCCGGCACAAUGCCAUGCCAUUAGCGUAUUGUAUUUAAAGUUUCAACCUCAACCUAGCCCGCCAAACUCCACAGUUGCCCCACAGUUGCCCAUUCAGAUGGCUACAUUGUUAGCGUUUGCUUAUUAAGUAUGCAGCUGGAAAUGGAGCGGGAGCUGGCGAUGGUGAGGCCACAGAUCGAGAGAUCCUGAGAUCCGGGGGCAGACGUGCUAAUAUCCAAUAAAUGCAAAUUAAAUGCACUCACGGCGCCUCCGCCAGCGGCACUUCACAUCCAGAUCCACAUCCACACAUGCACAUGCAUCAGGAUGUCUUCACGGUUUUAUCACUUUAUAGUUGGCAGUCAACAAAAGGCUCUGUUCCUGCUAAGCGGCAACAUUGUUUUCCUGGGUGGCCAUCCUGACACGCAAAAAAACAUUUUUGUCUAAGGUUGUGUACA